CACAUACACGCUUGUGCAUAUAUCAGCAGUGGCAUAAGGAAAUAUACAGAGUACUAACACAGCCCUUGGGAGCUUUAAUUUUUUUUUCCCCAAAUGCCAGGAAAUCAAGAGGAGAAACAGCCUGUAAUUUUCAACCAACCAGGCAAGAAGCAAACGAAAAGGCUUUGACAUGUAGGAAAUUAGGUUUGAGAUGGAGUCAGACUCACAAGAUAGUCCAAGAAUUAAGAGAGUCAUGGGGAGGUCUUGCUUUGAUGUUAAUAGUCACAGAUUCAUCCAGUAGGAAGGACAGUCUGGAGUGUAUCUGUACUGCAUGAAGUUCACAUGGAAGCCUGACCUUAUGGGAAAAAAAGAGGAGGUGCAGCUGUGCCAUCUGCUUGGUUUUACACCUAUGGGCUUUUUCUGAAAAGCAGAGGACUGGUGAAGAAUCCGUUCUGCAAAAGUCCAGUUAAGAAGACAUUACAUACCAAGAUCAUAUAGAUUUGAAAAAGAUUUGUUUGUUGUUUUUUGGUUUUUUUUUUUUAGGUCAUUCUGGCAAUUUCAAUAAUGGAAUGUGCUUUCAGAAAUAAAGUGCGGAAUGGUAAUAUCUUUUGUUACACAAACUGGGAAAAACCAGACAAACUUCAAG